AGAGUUUGAUCCUGGCUCAGAUUGAACGCUGGCGGUAUGCUUAACACAUGCAAGUCGAACGGUAGCAGCAGAGCUUGCUCUGGCUGACGAGUGGCGGACGGGUGCGUAACGCGUGGGAAUCUACCUUGUAGUGGGGGAUAGCCCGGAGAAAUCCGGAUUAAUACCGCAUAAUCUCUACGGAGCAAAGUGGGGGAUCUUCGGACCUCACGCUAUUAGAUGAGCCCGCGUUAGAUUAGCUUGUUGGUGGGGUAAUGGCUCACCAAGGCAACGAUCUAUAGCUGGUUUGAGAGGAUGAUCAGCCACACUGGGACUGAGACACGGCCCAGACUCCUACGGGAGGCAGCAGUGGGGAAUAUUGGACAAUGGGCGCAAGCCUGAUCCAGCAAUACCGCGUGUGUGAAGAAGGCCUGAGGGUUGUAAAGCACUUUCAAUAGAGACGAAAAGCUCAGGGUUAUUAACCCUGAGGCACCGGCUAACUACGUGCCAGCAGCCGCGGUAAUACGUAGGGUGCGAGCGUUAAUCGGAAUUACUGGGCGUAAAGCGUGCGCAGGCGGCUUUUUAAGACAGGUGUGAAAUCCCCGGGCUUAACCUGGGAAUGGCGCUUGUGACUGGAAGGCUAGAGUGCGGCAGAGGGGGAUGGAAUUCCUGGUGUAGCAGUGAAAUGCGUAGAUAUCAGGAGGAACACCGAUGGCGAAGGCAGUCCCCUGGGUCGACACUGACGCUCAGGCACGAAAGCGUGGGGAGCAAACAGGAUUAGAUACCCUGGUAGUCCACGCCCUAAACGAUGUCAACUAGUUGUUGGGGAAGGAGACUUCUUUAGUAACGUAGCUAACGCGUGAAGUUGACCGCCUGGGGAGUACGGCCGCAAGGUUAAAACUCAAAGGAAUUGACGGGGACCCGCACAAGCGGUGGAUGAUGUGGAUUAAUUCGAUGCAACGCGAAAAACCUUACCUACCCUUGACAUGCCAGGAACUUGCCAGAGAUGGCUUGGUGCCCGAAAGGGAGCCUGGACACAGGUGCUGCAUGGCUAUCGUCGUCAGCUCGUGUCGUGAGAUGUUGGGUUAAGUCCCGCAACGAGCGCAACCCUUGUCAUUAGUUGCCAUCAUUUAGUUGGGCACUUUAAUGAGACUGCCGGUGACAAACCGGAGGAAGGUGGGGAUGACGUCAAGUCCUCAUGGCCCUUAUGGGUAGGGCUUCACACGUAAUACAAUGGCGCGUACAGAGGGUUGCCAACCCGCAAGGGGGAGCUAAUCUCAGAAAGCGCGUCGUAGUCCGGAUCGGAGUCUGCAACUCGACUCCGUGAAGUCGGAAUCGCUAGUAAUCGCGGAUCAGCAUGUCGCGGUGAAUACGUUCCCGGGUCUUGUACACACCGCCCGUCACACCAUGGGAGUGGGUUCCACCAGAAGCAGGUAGUCUAACCGCAAGGAGGGCGCUUGCCACGGUGAGAUUCAUGACUGGGGUGAAGUCGUAACAAGGUAACC
rnacentral:rRNA from 1 species